rnacentral:rRNA from 1 species
GACGAACGCUGGCGGCGUGCCUAAUACAUGCAAGUAGAACGCUGAAGAGAGGAGCUUGCUCUUCUUGGAUGAGUUGCGAACGGGUGAGUAACGCGUAGGUAACCUGCCUUGUAGCGGGGGAUAACUAUUGGAAACGAUAGCUAAUACCGCAUAACAAUGGAUGACACAUGUCAUUUAUUUGAAAGGGGCAAUUGCUCCACUACAAGAUGGACCUGCGUUGUAUUAGCUAGUAGGUGAGGUAACGGCUCACCUAGGCGACGAUACAUAGCCGACCUGAGAGGGUGAUUGGCCACACUGGGACUGAGACACGGCCCAGACUCCUACGGGAGGCAGCAGUAGGGAAUCUUCGGCAAUGGGGGCAACCCUGACCGAGCAACGCCGCGUGAGUGAAGAAGGUUUUCGGAUCGUAAAGCUCUGUUGUAAGUCAAGAACGAGUGUGAGAGUGGAAAGUUCACACUGUGACGGUAGCUUACCAGAAAGGGACGGCUAACUACGUG